GGCGGCGGGAAGCAUCGUCCACCCGGGCCGGCCUGAAACACCUUCCCCGGGGUCGCUGCCUGCGACUCACUCCCCGGGCUUCGAUUUACGCGAAAACUCCUGGGACCGGUGGGGGUGAUCGUGCAAAGUAGUCUUGCUCUGAAAUCCAGACUGCCACUGAGUGCAGCAGCUGGAUCAUGGAUCACUGCAGCCUUGACCUCCCAGGCUCAAGCCGUCCUCCUGCCUCAGCCUCUGGAGUAGCUGGGACUACAGGGUUACCACUGAAGAUGGCUGUCGUUCAGAGGCUGCCUGCCUCCAGAUGACCACAUACCGUGAACAUCCUUGUGUAUACCAGGUGCUCCCAAGAGGCUAAGAUACAAAGGUCUCCCUACAUUUCCCAGGCUGGAGUGCAGAGGUGCAAUCACAGCUCACUGCAGCCUCGACUUCCCAGUCUCAGGAGACAGGCAUCUCGCUAUGUUGCCCAGGCUAGUCUCGAACUCCUGGCCUCAAGUGAUCCUCUCACCUCAUUGUCUGGAGUAGCUGAGAUUAUAGUGGUGAACCACCAUGCCUGGCACCCCUUCAGCUU